rnacentral:rRNA from 1 species
UACGAAGGGAGCUAGCGUUGUUCGGAAUCACUGGGCGUAAAGCGCACGUAGGCGGACGUGUCAGUCAGGGGUGAAAUCCUGGAGCUCAACUUCGGAACUGCCUUUGAUACAGCACGUCUUGAGUCCGGAAGAGGUGGGUGGAAUUCCUAGUGUAGAGGUGAAAUUCGUAGAUAUUAGGAAGAACACCGGUGGCGAAGGCGGCCCACUGGUCCGGUACUGACGCUGAGGUGCGAAAGCGUGGGGAGCAAACAGG